rnacentral:rRNA from 1 species
CCUACGGGAGGCAGCAGUAGGGAAUAUUGCUCAAUGGGGGAAACCCUGAAGCAGCAACGCCGCGUGGAGGAUGAAGGUUUUCGGAUUGUAAACUCCUUUUGUUAGAGAAGAUAAUGACGGUAUCUAACGAAUAAGCACCGGCUAACUCCGUGCCAGCAGCCGCGGUAAUACGGAGGGUGCAAGCGUUACUCGGAAUCACUGGGCGUAAAGGGCGCGUAGGCGGGAUAGCAAGUCAGAUGUGAAAUCCUAUGGCUUAACCAUAGAACUGCAUUUGAAACUGUUAUUCUAGAGUAUGGGAGAGGUAGGUGGAAUUCUUGGUGUAGGGGUAAAAUCCGUAGAGAUCACGAAGAAUACUCAUUGCGAAGGCGACCUGCUAGAACAUAACUGACGCUGAUGCGCGAAAGCGUUGGGAGCAAACAGGAUUAGAUACCCGGGUAGUC